rnacentral:rRNA from 1 species
UACGAAGGGGGCUAGCGUUGCUCGGAAUUACUGGGCGUAAAGCGCACGUAGGCGGCUCUUUAAGUCGGGGGUGAAAUCCUGGAGCUCAACUCCAGAACUGCCUUCGAUACUGGAGAGCUUGAGUUCGGGAGAGGUGAGUGGAACUGCGAGUGUAGAGGUGAAAUUCGUAGAUAUCGCAAGAACACCAGUGGCGAAGGCGG